rnacentral:lncRNA from 1 species
ACAAAAAUCAUUUUUCUACUUUCUUUCUAACUUUUUGUCUUCAUAAGCUUUCUUUUGUGGUUUUUUCUUCUCAAAGUUUAGUAGUUUAAUUUCUUUGUUCCUUUCUUUUAAAUUGCUGGGAUUAUAAUAUUUAAUUUUGCUGAUUCCUGUAUCCUCCCAAAUAGAGGUAGGCUUGUUUAAUCCUGGAAAAAUAUUUCACAUGCUGAAAUAGUUUCUUAGGACAGUGCCUAGCACGACUCAAGCCAAUUCGUGUGUAUGCUUACAAAUAAAAUUAUUGCAG